rnacentral:pre_miRNA from 1 species
AGUGGGAUAACUGGGUCAAAUGGUGGGUUCCGGUCCAAGUUUUCUAAGGAAUCUCCAUAUUGCUUUACAGAGUAGUUGCACCAAUUUGAAGUUCCACCAGCAAU